rnacentral:lncRNA from 1 species
GUUAGAGGCAUAUUCACUCUUUUAAGAUCCUCAGGGGUAAUACAAAUAGAGACAUUAAGAUCAUUUGGAUGAGCAAAAAUAUAAACAUUUGGAAAAUGAUUGAUCUUACAUCCAAGAAAAAAGGUAAGUGCUUUCAGUGAGUUGGUGAGUGCAGAGGGACAAAGUGCAUGUUUAGCUGAAGUAGGGAAAGUAGUAAAUGUUCAGGGAGGACGUGCUUCCUGUGCUAAAAAGCCAAAAAGUAGAUAAACUUGUCUGAGAAUGGAGGGCACAGUGACAUGAACUGUGACUUGGGACAAGGCUCUAAAGAGUGGGUAGUCUGUCUAGAUUGAGGGGGUACUGAUGACGAGAGGGAAGUGGAAGAAAGGGAAUUACUUUUGGUUUUUCUGUUGUUGGUCAAGCCCAUUGUGAUGACUAUGGAGUUGGGUGCUUAGAUCCUCUGCAGGUCCAAGUCCAUUGGCCAGCUGGUGGAGAGGUGUCUACAGGCAACCUAAUGUCGGCCCCUUCAGGGAUUUCCUCAGCUGCACAGAGCCACCUUGCUUAAGGUCACACCCUUCCCAUGGUGGCCCACCUCCAGUGACGGAUCAAGGGGCAGGUGCCGAUCCUAAGAGCAUUCUAACAAAUGUUCUACACUCGUAACUCUAUCUCAGAUUGCGCUUCUUGAAAAGCCACCUACGACACCUUCUCGGUAUGUUAUGGAAUUUUCAUAAUAACUCCCUAAGGUUGGUAUUUUGGGCGUUAUUAUA